UCGCGGACAUUAUGUGCACGAGUUCUGAGAGCCAAGUACUACCCUACAUGAGAUAUUCUGAAUUGUCAACUGAAGAAGGGGUCGUCCUAUGUGUGGCAAAGCAUUUGGUUUGGAAUUCAAACAUUCAAGAAGGGUUACAUUUGGAGAGUAAGCAAUGGAGAAAAGAUUAAUAUAUGGGAUGAUUGUUGGAUCCCGAACAGUGCCUUCAAAAAAGUUUUAACAGUAAGGGGGAACCAAGUACUUACUAAAGUGAAUGAGUUAAUUGACCCAAUCACGGAAGAAUGGGAUGAGAUGUUAAUCCGGGAGAAUUUCUGGCACAUUGAUGCUGAACGCAUACUACAAAUCCCAUUAUUCCAUGUGGAGAGAGAGGACUAUGUUGCAUGGCAUCUCACGAGGAGCGGCAUUUUUUCAGUACGUUCUGCCUAUUAUAAGCAGUGGGAAGUGAAUUAUGAUACAGAUGACAACGGUCUGGCCUGCUUCUCCAUGGCGCCCCAUCCAGUUUGGAAGAAGUUGUGGAGUUUGAGAGUGCCAGCUAAAGUUAAAAUUUAUAUCUGGAGAUGCUUGCACAAUGCCAUCCCAUGCCGGAGUACUCUUAUGAAUCGCCAUGUUGGAAACUUGUCCCAAUGUCCAUACAGUACAGAUGGUACGGAGGACUUAUCUCAUAUGUUGUUUAAGUGUGCAAGGGCGCAAGCAGUUUGGGAAGCUUUGGGAAUCGCAGCAGAUAUUAACUUUGCUUCAUUGGCUGAUCGAGCAGGUUCAGCAGUCUUGGAGUUUAUUUUAUGUGAUGAUUCUUAUCGACGAUAA
rnacentral:rRNA from 1 species